GAUUUCCUCCAGCAAAAUUCCCGACGUCUCCAGUUCGUGAGGACCAAACCUCUCCCAGUCAGCGUGGCUUUUCACACCGAGCUGAUGGAGUCGGCUACUGAACCCCUCAGAGAGGUGCUCAGACAGGUGGAGAGAGGAUCAGCAGAAAAGAUGAUGAAGCAGAACCAAAGAGGGGACCUCAACUCCAAAUGGCAUUUCCCAUGUGCCUGAGCCUAGUGCAAGACACAUCGUGUGAAAGAGCUUCAUGGAAUCAGCAGAAAAUAUGGAAAGUAUGAGGGUCUUUUCUCAGUGUUAU